GCCCGGAUGGCGAAAUCGGUAGACGCAGGAGACUUAAAAUCUCCCGACCGCAAGGUCAUGCCGGUUCGAUCCCGGCUCCGGGCACCA
rnacentral:tRNA from 1 species